AGAAGAAUAACAGUGCAAUUCUCCUUUGGCAGGUGUUGCAUGUGUUCUCGCAUGAGAAUGACCUUUCUGCCAAAGGAGAAUUGCCCUGCCAUUCUAUA
rfam:Glycine soja cultivar W05 scaffold12687_6, whole genome shotgun sequence.